AUCCAAAAACCCAAAGUACUGCUAUGGCUAAGAAUUCUGGAAAACCACUCUGGGCAUCUGAAGAUUCUGUUUGGGGAACAAAUUUAGCAGAGACACUAAACCAGAACUAUAUUAAUGGUUUAAUGACUACAACUAUUUUCUGGAAUAUAAUAACAAGUUAUUAUCCUGGUUUGCAUUACUACAAUGCUGGGUUAAUGAGUGCUGUAGAACCUUG